AAAACUGAGGACCUUAGAGACCAACUAGCGGCCAUGCAGUUCCUCACUGACAAGUUCCAGGACCUUUGAAGUUGGAGCCAGCAUCUUCCUACAAGAUGAGCAGCUGGUACCUUUGGAGCUCCGGAGCUGCAGCCAAACGGGUUCCUUCCGUAUCCUCUUCAGCCAGGGCUUCCGCUCUUCUGCUGCAUUUGCCCCCUUCCCAAAGCAGUUUCCAAUAAAGUCGUUCUCAUAUUCUGUGGU
rnacentral:lncRNA from 1 species